AUUGAACGCUGGCGGCAUGCUUUACACAUGCAAGUCGAACGGCAGCACGGGCUUCGGCCUGGUGGCGAGUGGCGAACGGGUGAGUAAUGCGUCGGAACGUGCCGAGUAAUGGGGGAUAACGCAUCGAAAGGUGUGCUAAUACCGCAUACGCUCUGAGGAGGAAAGCGGGGGACCUUCGGGCCUCGCGUUAUUCGAGCGGCCGACGUCUGAUUAGCUAGUUGGUGGGGUAAAGGCCUACCAAGGCGACGAUCAGUAGCGGGUCUGAGAGGAUGAUCCGCCACACUGGGACUGAGACACGGCCCAGACUCCUACGGGAGGCAGCAGUGGGGAAUUUUGGACAAUGGGCGAAAGCCUGAUCCAGCCAUGCCGCGUGAGUGAAGAAGGCCUUCGGGUUGUAAAGCUCUUUUGUCCGGGAGGAAAUCCCGCAACCUAAUACGUUGCGGGGAUGACAGUACUGGAAGAAUAAGCACCGGCUAACUACGUGCCAGCCGCCGCCGUAAAAC
rnacentral:rRNA from 1 species